GGGGGCUGACCCUGGAAGAUGGAGGUCAUGCGCUGCAGGCUCCAGCCAGAGCUGCCGAGACCCAGGACGAUGCCUGAGAAGUGAUGGAGCUGCUGAGAGCUGCAUGGACCAAGAGACCCGGAGAUGCCAGGACCGCUGCCCUGGGGACAGGGCGGGAAGUAGCUCAGGGGGACUAGACGUGCCGAGUGGCUGACCCCGUGGUCUCCAGAUGCUCCAGCGACUCCUCAUAGGCGUUCUUCAGCUUGAAGAGCUCGGUGCUGAGCGACCGCGCCUCCUUCUGCGAGGACUCCAGCUCCGUCUGCGACUCCUCGAACUUCUGCUUCCAUUCAGACAGGAUCUGGGGAGAUGUGGGGCAUGGGCAGCUGCGGCAGCGUUCGACCGCUCCACAUCCACCAUAAGGUCCUCGAUCUCAUUCUGCAGCCGGUGCUUGGUCUUCUCCAGUGAUGAGCACUUGGCGUUCACGGCCUCCACAGCCUCCUCCACCUCCUGC